CUCUUGGCCCACUGAUUAUCUAGCCAGAUGAUCCACGCAGCUUUCAACCUAUAAAAAUUAUUGACCAAGCCAGAUCCCAGCUUAUAUAAUAUCGAAUCAUCACAAACCCCGUAGAGCUAGUAUAGAGCUGUAAGUCGAAUCCAACUGAUCGUAUCACACGCAGAGAGAAAGAGAGAUAUAGAGAGGUAGAGGAGGAGAAGGAAGGAUCGAUGAAGAAAGCUGCAACAUUUACGACUGCAACUCCGUUGUUUGUGGCUAUUCGGAUCUUUACGGUUCUCGCUAUCAUUCUACUGUACCUCCCCCCGCUGGCUUUUGGCGCCCGUAGUCUUCUCGAUAGGGAAGAUGUGUACGGGCACAGAUUUCUUCCUUCGACAGCUGGCCAAGCAGUCGCACGCAAUCUAGGAAAUGUGGGUGGAGGUCCAUUUCAUGGAGAUGGGGGACAUGGCCCACAACAUUAAAGUUCCUAAAGACGAUGUCAUACAAUGCAUACACAGAUCAGAAAUUGAGGUAUCAGAAUACAAGAUCCGAAAGUUGAAAAUUUAAGAGCUCUUUCGGGAUAUCUUACAUUAAAUUAAUCCUAUUACUGGAGUAUAACUUGAUAUUUUCCUUUUCCCUGAAGUCAGUGAUCUAGUUAUAUCAAAUUCACUGAUAAAAAAUUUACCCAAUUUAGUGGUGCGACCACUUUAUAUAAGACAUGGAGAAACUUGGUGCUAGCUUAAUUUUAUAUAUAUAUUGAUUUAUUUACUAAAUUGUGAUUGCCGGUCAUAAAUCUAUUACUCUAUAUAAAAAGGGAGAAGUUCCUUCGUGUGUUUUCACUUUUUUUUUUUGGGCCUUUUCGGUACUUAAAAUAACAAAGGCCUAGCAAACUGACUUGUGAUUUCAUUGUGCCUCCUCGCCUUAGAGGAACACUCUGUUUCAUAUAUAUUCCCCUGCCUGCCUUCCUGACGCAGCGUACAAUGCGAGUAACCAUCACAGACCUGUUGAUUCGCGCACGAAUACCGGAACUACGACCUUUUAUACCUGUUGAUUCUACGAAUACCAGGAAAUAGGCAUCAAACUUGAAUCGAUCCGAGAUUGGACAAAACACGAAAGCUCUGAAUUUUAUUGAUAAUCCAAAAGACGACGGCUUUAACCCUAGGGCUUACGCGUUUCUUAAAUAGGGUUUAAGAAAAAUUAAAUUGUAUAAAAAGAACUAAACUUUUCUAAAAUUGUAAAAACACCCUAAUUAACAAAAAAUUACCUGUUUGAAGCCAUAGACGAUGGAAUUUGCUUUAAAUAUCGAAAAAUCACGGCAAAGCGGUGAGUUUUGCUCCGGAGGCCGUUUCCUUCGAAAUAGGGUCGUCAUAACCUAUUUUUCUCCAAAUACCGACUUGUCAGGUCUUCUACCGCAUCACUUCCCCCCCUUCCCCCCAAAGCGCCGACCAAAUCUGUCUAACCCUUCCCCACGGGCAACCUACGAAUUGCGUCCAACCCCAUUCUCCAACCUUCCUUCCUUCUUCAUUUCUACCUUCGUAGCAUCUUUAUGUGCCCACUUCUUUUCCUCCAUCCAUUAUUGGUAAUGUUCAGUCGAGCUGCUGGAGUUGACAUGUUCAUAUUUCAGAUAGAUUUAAGUAUAUAGAGUCUUUACAAUGUACUUCAAGUAGCGUCGUAAUUACGACCACAAGAAGUCUGCUAAGAAAGUUCCUAAUGGUUUGUCUCUUGCCUUUUAUAUACAUUUUUUUUAUGAAAUGGUGUUAUUUUAAUUCGUCAAAAGUUCAUAAAUGAAAAUCUUGUCGCAUUGUUGUAACCUACUUAUAAGUAUAAUGAAUCUUUGUUUCUUACUAAUAAUAUAAUUAAAUUAUGGAAUUCACAGAAUUGCGGUGGAGAAUCCUAGAGGAUCUUGUUGCUAAGAACUACAUGUUGCCUCUUGAACAGUUUGGUUUUAAUCCUUAUUGAGAUUGAAUGCGCCUAAAAUGGACGGAUCUAUGGGUCUGUGUGCUAAUGCCAAUGUUACCAUGAAUGGGCUGUCUACACAUGCCGUUUUGACCGUUGCAUCCUUAGGAUCUAUAACUACUCAAGCUUAUAUCAUCACUCCUCCAUUUCCUUCUAAAGGUUUUGUCUGUGAGUGCUAGGUUGAUUUAUAUAGAAUGCUGGUUGAUUUAUGUUGUAAAACGAUUUUUUUUUUUUAAGAAUACGUCGUCUUUUCUAGGUUCUUAUAUCUGCUCAAGCUUAUAUCAUCACGCCUCCAUUUCCUUCUAAAGGUUUUGUCUGUGAACGCUAGGUUGAUUUAAAUAGAAUGCUGGUUGAUUUAUAUUGUAAAACGAGUUUUCUUUUUUUUUUUUUUUAGAAUAAGCCGUCUUUUCUAGGUUCUUAUAUCAUCAUGCACCUAUAUUGUCUAUUCUAGGCUUUUGAGCUGAUUAAAAAGCUUUCCAAUUUUAUAGAGAUCUUGCCAUAUUCAGCAUAGAAUAUAAGCAUUUAUUCUCUCCUUCACCUAUGAUGAACAUAGAAGAGUUUGAGGCUUGAAAUGCAGAUGUAAGGAUGACAUAGAAAAAUGAGAGUCCAGGAAAAUGGUAAUAUACUUUUCUGCUGUCUGAGUUAGGCUAUCUUUAUCUGUAGUUGUACUAUGUCUUAUCUACCGUAUUCAGAUCUACACCAAAGAAUUAUCUUAUUGCUAUUUUUUUUUUUGAAAGAAAUACAAAUGCGUGAACCUCCUCACCCACCACCUAUUGUAGGCUGGCAAAUGCCAAAUGCCUCCCUUUGCCAACAGUCAUAGUAUCUAAUGUUAUUACUUUCUCGUUCUAAAACUCAUGUAUCUUCAUCUGCAUUCGUUUUCCUUUCUAUGCCUUUUCUUCUUACUCUCUAUUGUUCUUAUUUCUUUCCUUCCUAUGUCUCCUAUCUGAUAUCCGCCAUGUGGCUUCUUCCGAUGUCCUCUUUGUGCUGAUGGUACUUCUCAUCCUGUAAAUGCAAUUUGACGACAAGGUUGGUGUUGCCUUCGCCGUUGUUCUGGCUGAAUUUCUUGCCAUGAAUAGGCUACUCAAAUUAUCAGCACUGCGAUUCCACUUGCUCAUACUGGUGCUACUUAUUAGUCUAUUCCACCAUACUAUUGGCAGAAUACUAAAGGCCCAUUUUCUUUCUUGAACAGGGUUACAGUCAAUUGUAAUGGACAGUCAAUUUGCUCUGGUAGCCAAAUUGUUUACUGUUCGUUGUCUACUCGCAAUCUCUCUUGCUCGUGAUUAGGAGCUUCACCAGCUUGAUGUACAUAACGCUUACCUGCAUGGAGAGCUCGAUGAGGAGGUGUACAUGUAGCUGCCAUUGGGUUUUCAAUCGAAUAUUAGUGGUCAAGUUUGUCAUCUACAUAAAUUGCUCUAAGGACUUCGGCAAGCCUCCCGCAAUUGUUAUGUCAAGUUUGCUUCCGCUUUUAUUGCAUAUGGCUUUCAACAAUCGGAGGCAGAUCAUUAGUUGUUUACUUAAUUUCAUGGAGAUAUCUCAUUCGUUGUGUUGAUCUAUGUUGACGACAUGAUAUUGGCAAGUAAUAAUUCAGAUGCUUGCUCGGCCUUCAAGGAUUAUUUGGCAUAACAAUUUCGUAUCAAGGACCUUAGGUUGUUGAAAUAUUUCCUAGGGAUUGAGGUAGCUCGAAAGCCCAAUGAGAUUUUCCUGUCUCAAAUGAAAU